CCCCCCCCCCCCCCCCCCAAAUAACCUUCUUUCUUUUUUCCAUAUUUGACGAGGAAGUAAAGCAUCUGAAUUUGAAAACUUGCUUCGAUAUUUGCCCUCUUAAUGCGGAUUGCCUUAUCUUCUUCGUGCCUGGAAAGGGGUGGGCGUAAUAACACAACUCAAGUCCGAUAACACAAAGGGAACAACCAAUCGGAUCGAUUCCUCUGAAUUCCGUGGCUGUGAUAAGACUUGUCUUUUGAAUCAAUGUAAAAGAAAAAUUCCAAAGUCACGAGUGGCUUCAAAAGGUCGCCCACUGAAUUUGUUUAAUCGUCCCCCUAUACGAUAUCUAGGCGCACCACAUGCCAGCCUACAACGUGACAAGUAAAAUAUCUCCUAUGCUUAAUGCUCCGAACGUCAUUAUAUGAAAUGUUACCUUCCAACUUACAAGUACUAGGUAAAUCCUCCUUCAGUUAACCAGCAAAAUUCCUUCAUUUUCACCUUUCCUUUUGUUCUUUCUUGCCAUGUUAGGUCAUCGGUAAUGGGCAGGGUUAGAUGUCCUUUUUACUUUUAUUUUUUCUGGAUUAUUCUCCUUUUUAGUAAGACAUAAUUAAUGAAUCCAGCUGUCUUCGUACAUUUGAAAUUCUUUCCGUCUCUGGUAAGCAAACAAUUACCAUUUUAUAGUUUUCAUCGGUUUAAAUUUUAAUUUUUUUUUUCCCCCAAUUUCCACUGUCCACCAAAGCUUCAGACCUCGCACGCGAUACAAAGCAACAGGCUUCGGCAACGGCAUUAACAACGGCACGUACAACGGAUGACGUAUAACGGUAACGAUGAAAGGACCCACGAUCCGCCAAUGUAAGGGGAUUGUUAAAGUCAAGCGUUACGGGUGCCCUACACCCCCUGCGCUGCAAACACAACAGACGCAUCGGAGGUCAAACCAGACGGUCAUUUUGCAAAUUUUGCUUGAAAUUGAUUGUACAGGAUUAAAUUAAUUUUAUUUUUAAUUUAGAUUAGAUUAGAUUUUCACGUCCCAAAAUCUCCUUCCAUAGCAAUUGAUAUGUACAAAGGAUUUCCAAAUUUCCAUGUCCAACAAAAAACUCUAGCCUUCGGGUCUCCGUUUACAAAACUCAUCGACGUUGACUCAGUCCGGAUCAAACUUCAUUUCGGAUUCGACAUGGUACGUCGAGCAGAUCAAUCGAAACUCCUCCGAUUCGAUUCUGUUUUGACUCAGCUAUGCACACCUUCGCCGAAUCCUACCAUACGUCACCGGAAUCUGAUGAUAUAAAACGAAAAACAAUAACCAACCUGUAAUUCCAACCACAAUCAGAUAUCAUCGGCUUUCGACAUAACCACGAGGCGGCUUGGCCUGGGCUGGAAAUCAGCCCUACGCCUUUGCUGAUGUGAAGAUGGCCGAAUCAACGCCGUCAACGCUCUCUUUACCCACUCACCUUCAACACCACCGAUCCUAACGAGUGAAUUCUUCAUUGCCGAUCGCCUCAUGUUCAGGCGGUUAGGCGUAUACAGUGCGGUACCACUUCCAUGACUGUGAAUACCAGUAUUCUUGUGUAAACUACACCGAAAUGAUCCUGGAUGCGUAGUUGGAGAACACAUGCAAGUCUUCUUCGGGAGAGAGAUUGGGUUAUUCUGCUUGGAAACCGUUAUCGAACGGUUAGGCGAACUAGAUCUGCCGAUAGAAAAGCGAAAGGAAUGAGAAUGAGGAGACGACGUCGUGUAGAGAUUAACGCGAGUAGGGGAAGCUGAUCUAUGGUGAUUAGCAUGAAAAAAUACUGUAGGUGGGGAACAGAAACUGGAGCUAGUUGAAGAAGCAAAGGCAGAGGAAGAUGAAGAGGAUGACAAAUAAGAAUUCGUAUGAGGGGUUUGAAAUCUUCCACGAGAAUGUAGAACUUGUCCGCUGGAUCUUCUUGAAUGCGAGCUUGUAGCCAUUUUUGAGAGGGAAGAGAAAGACGAGGAAGAUGAAAGAAGUGGAGAAGCAGAAGAAAGGGGGGCUUUUUGGGGAAUUUACUCCGAAAGGCUUCGUGGGCUGAUUGGUUUGGCAAACCUGGCAAGUCUCGAGGCCUAAAUUUAUAGAAUCGAUAUGAGGUUAGGAUGGUAAAUAAUGGGAAGUUGUAGGGGUUAAUAUGUUCUGGUUGUCUUGUUGGUGAAGUUAACCAUGGUUAGUAUAGGGUCGGUUUGACUAAAGGUUGAGGCUAACGCAUUCGGAUUCUAAUCCAACGGCUGGAGUGAUGUGAUGUGGACUGCAUAAGGGCUGAGGCUAACGCGUUCGGAUUCUGUCUGACAGCUGUUGUAGGAAGAUUGGAUAGCUACUAAGGGUAAACUGGGUUUAAUAAUAUCACCUAUAUGCGUCUG
rnacentral:misc_RNA from 1 species